UACCAGCACCCCGAGUGGUCGGGACGUUUAUUGGGCCUAAAGCAUCCGUAGCCGGUUCUACAAGUCUUCCGUUAAAUCCACCUGCUUAACAGAUGGGCUGCGGAAGAUACUAUAGAGCUAGGAGGCGGGAGAGGCAAGCGGUACUCGAUGGGUAGGGGUAAAACCCGUUGAUCCAUUGAAGACCACCAGUGGCGAAGGCGGCAUCCUGGACCGGCAUUGACGCUGAGGCGCGAAAGCCAGGGGAGCAAACGGG
rnacentral:rRNA from 1 species